rnacentral:rRNA from 1 species
AAACUCAAAUGAAUUGACGGGACCCGCACAAGCAGCGAGCGUGUGGUUUAAUUCGUUGCUACACGAAGAACCUUACCUGGGUUUGACAUAUAGGUUGUAGGGAACUGAAAGGGACCGACCUUCGGGGAGCCUAUACAGGUGUUGCAUGGCUGUCGUCAGCUCGUGUCGUGAGAUGUUCGGUUAAGUCCGCUAACGAGCGCAACCCUCGUCGUAUGUUAUAUGUGUCAUACGAGACUGCCGGUAAAAGCCGGAGGAAGGUGAGGAUGAUGUCAAGUCAGCAUGACCUUUAUAUCCAGGGCUACACACACGCUACAAUGGUCUGUACAAUGGGUAGCCAAGCCGCGAGGCGGAGCCAAUCCUGAAAGCAGGCCUCAGUUCAGAUUGCAGUCUGCAACUCGACUGCAUGAAGCCGGAGUUGCUAGUAACCGCAGGUCAGCAAUACUGCGGUGAAUACGUUCCCGGGUCUU